GUUAUAUAACAAUAAACUUACAAUAGAAACCUUUGAAUGCAAAGUUUGCUUGAAAAUUGCACAUGGUAAUGAGUUUAUGCUUCGUAAGGCCUGCGAAGCAUGUCAUAACAUCGCACUUUUUAAUCGAUAUAUGAAAUUAAAACAGGAGACCUAUUUUCGUUUUUUAGAUUCCGAAGUGGACAUUAAGCGUUUUCUUUCUAAAAAAAAUUCUAAAACUCAAAAGUUCAAAAAAAGGAAAAGUUAUUUCUAAGGAGGAGCUUCUUUCUACCUCUGAAGAAAGCGAGAAGGAAAAUUCUGAUAAAGAUCCAGAAUUUGUUCCAUCAACACCUCAAGCUGCCAAAUUAAAAACAAAAAAAAGCAGACUUGAGGGGUUAUGUUAAUCACACAAAUUUCUUUGCCAGUUGCUACAACCUUAACUAAAGUUAUUGAAAAACCACACUCUCCUUUUUCUACCCCAGUUAAAGUUAAUUCAACAACCAUUUCUCAUAUUCCAAAAAAAAACAUUUCAAAAAAAGUAAAGUUACUGUUACAAUUCAAAAAAAAAAGUGUAGUUUGCGAAAAAAACUUGGAUGACAUUGUUGAAGAUGACAUUCCAUAUCUAAAUUUAAUUAGAUUUAACAAGAGAUCGCCUUAUUUUUGAAGAUAGCCAUUGUGGAGAUGUUAAUUAUUUUCCAGGAGUGGCAGUUAAAUGCAAUUUGAGUGAUUCAUUAGAUCCUGACAAGUACUUGGCUUCUGUUCGAUUUUUAGAAUACCGAAAGUCUAUGAUUGAACGUGAUUUAAAAAGCUUUUUUGGUGACAUAGAGUAAGUUUUUUUGCUAACACUUAUUUUAUAGUGUGGCAAUUUAGUAAUAAUAUUUUUUUUAUGUAAGGCCACUGCUUAUAAAAGAAUGUCCAGCCGUGUCGAAUAUAAAAUUAAGUGCACGGAAAUGAACUGCUCUUCGUUCUCAACAAAAUAUUCGAAACAUUUAAUUGAAAAACAUCAAUUUGGCCUGCAGCAAGCUAAUUACUUGCAGUCUUUUCACAUUUGUUUGUUCAAGUUUAAAACUCGGUUGGUUAAACAUUCGAAUAAACCUUAUGCAUGCAGUGAGUGCAUGGUUUGGUUUGACCGCCUUGAUAAAUAUUUGAUUAAUGAACACAAGUUUGAAUCGGGAAGUGAUUCGUUUAAGGAAGCAAUGUCUUCUAUGAAAAUAAAGUCAAAAGAGUUUAUAGUGAAACAAACCGCCGAGUUUUUUGGUGAAACAAAACAAACAAAUUUUAGUGCUCUUGUGAGUUGUCCUUCGGGAACAAGGAGUACUUUUCAUGUUAAAAAAAAAAUGCAGUCAGGGGGUGCCUAAUUCUCAGCAAACAAGUCAUAUUGAGGAAAAUAGGCCUGGUUCAAGUGGUCUAGAACGAUCUAAACCAAUAACCAAAGACGGAUUAAAAGCUGCUUUAGACAGUUUAUGACUACUCUAGUUCGCCUGAAAAAAAUAGUAGUAGUGUGGUCCCAGUUUCGCCUCAAUCAAGUCCUAAUAAAGCCAAUAUCUAUGGAAUUUCUA
rnacentral:lncRNA from 1 species